UGGGGUUAUAGCUCAGUUGGUAGAGCACUUCAAUGGCAUUGAAGGGGUCAGCGGUUCGAAUCCGCUUAACUCCAU
rnacentral:tRNA from 2 species